GACGAACGCUGGCGGCGUGCCUAAUACAUGCAAGUUGAGCGCUGAAGGUUGGUACUUGUACCAACUGGAUGAGCAGCGAACGGGUGAGUAACGCGUGGGGAAUCUGCCUUUGAGCGGGGGACAACAUUUGGAAACGAAUGCUAAUACCGCAUAAAAACUUUAAACACAAGUUUUAAGUUUGAAAGAUGCAAUUGCAUCACUCAAAGAUGAUCCCGCGUUGUAUUAGCUAGUUGGUGAGGUAAAGGCUCACCAAGGCGAUGAUACAUAGCCGACCUGAGAGGGGGAUCGGCCACAUUGGGACUGAGACACGGCCCAAACUCCUACGGGAGGCAGCAGUAGGGAAUCUUCGGCAAUGGACGAAAGUCUGACCGAGAAACGCCGCGGGAGUGAAGAAGGUUUUCGGAUCGUAAAACUCUGUUGGUAGAGAAGAACGUUGGUGAGAGUGGAAAGCUCAUCAAGUGACGGUAACUACCCAGAAAGGGACGGCUAACUACGUG
rnacentral:rRNA from 1 species